AUCCUUUUGUGUUUUCUAGUUGAUAACUGGGUUUUCAUGCUGCUGUGUGAGAUGUCUCCUCAAAUUUUGCUAUGAUGUCAGCACAUUACCCAUCUGACA